rnacentral:rRNA from 1 species
UACGUAGGGGGCAAGCGUUGUCCGGAUUUAUUGGGCGUAAAGAGCGUGUAGGCGGUUUGGUAGGUCCGCUGUGAAAACUCGAGGCUCAACCUCGAAGACGCCGGUGGAAACCAUCAGACUAGAGUCCGGAAGAGGAGAGUGGAAUUCCUGGUGUAGCGGUGAAAUGCGCAGAUAUCAGGAAGAACACCCGUGGCUAAGGCGGCUCUCUAGUACGGUACUGACGCUGAGACGCGAAAGCCGUUGGGGAGCGAACAGG